rnacentral:rRNA from 1 species
AUUGAACGCUGGCGGCAUGCUUUACACAUGCAAGUCGAACGGUAACAGGGAGCUUGCUCCGCUGACGAGUGGCGAACGGGUGAGUAAUGCGUCGGAACGUGCCGAGUAGUGGGGGAUAACGCAUCGAAAGGUGUGCUAAUACCGCAUACGAACUGAGGUUGAAAGUGGGGGACCUUCGGGCCUCACGCUAUUCGAGCGGCCGACGUCUGAUUAGCUAGUUGGUGAGGUAAAGGCUCACCAAGGCGACGAUCAGUGGCGGGUCUGAGAGGAUGAUCCGCCACACUGGGACUGGGACACGGCCCAGACUCCUACGGGAGGCAGCAGUGGGGAAUUUUGGACAAUGGGCGCAAGCCUGAUCCAGCCAUGCCGCGUGUCUGAAGAAGGCCUUCGGGUUGUAAAGGACUUUAGCCUGGAAAGAAAAAACUUUGGUUAACACCCAAAGUCUUGACGGUACCAGGAGAAUAAGCACCGGCUAACUCUGUGCCAGCAGCCGCCGUAAGAC